UACUAGAGUAGCACUCGCAUAUCAAUAAGCGGAGGAAAAGAAACUAACAAGGAUUCCCCUAGUAACGGCGAGUGAAGCGGGAAGAGCUCAAAUUUGAAAUCUUAAAGGGUUUCCCUUUACGAAUUGUAGUUUAAAGAAGUGUUUUUCUGUUGAGGUUUUGGUAAAAGUUCUUUGGAAUAGGACAUCAUAGAGGGUGAGAAUCCCGUAUUUGACCUUUACUUUCAACUUUGUGAUACACUUUCAAAGAGUCGGAUUGUUUGGGAAUGCAGUCCAAAAUGGGUGGUAAAUUUCAUCUAAAGCUAAAUAUUGGCGAGAGACCGAUAGCGAACAGAGUACCGUGAGGGAAAGAUGAAAAGAACUUUGAAAAGAGAGUUAAACAGUACGUGAAAUUGUCAAAAGGGAAGCGUUUGACACCAGUGUUGUUUUUCUGAAAAUCAAUUAAAGAACUGUUUAUGCUAAGUUGUUUAGACUUUAUCAGCUAACUGUUUAGUUUUGAGCUUUUCUUUAAUGCACUUUUCAGUUAACAAGUCAACAUCAAUUUCUUUUGCUGUAAAAAAGCUUGAGGAAGGUGGCUUGAGAUUCGUCUUAAGUGUUUAUAGCCUCUUGCCUAUGCAGUCGGAGAGAUUGAGGUCUGCAGCGUAGAUCCUUCGGGGCUAAACGCAUUUGUGCUAAGUUAUAGCAUUUUAUAGACAACUUGUUGACUAUGAUUUGUCUUGUAGCUUACUCGCUUAUGUUAUUUUACCUACGCUUAGGAUGUUGAGUAGCGACAUACGCAC
rnacentral:rRNA from 1 species